rnacentral:rRNA from 1 species
AUUGAACGCUGGCGGCAUGCCUUACACAUGCAAGUCGAACGGCAGCACGGGUGCUUGCACCUGGUGGCGAGUGGCGAACGGGUGAGUAAUAUAUCGGAACGUACCUUAUUGUGGGGGAUAACGCAGCGAAAGCUGUGCUAAUACCGCAUAAUCCCUAAGGGGGAAAGCGGGGGACCGUAAGGCCUCGCGCAAUUAGAGCGGCCGAUACCUGAUUAGCUAGUUGGUGAGGUAAAGGCUCACCAAGGCAACGAUCAGUAGCUGGUCUGAGAGGACGAUCAGCCACACUGGGACUGAGACACGGCCCAGACUCCUACGGGAGGCAGCAGUGGGGAAUAUUGGACAAUGGGCGCAAGCCUGAUCCAGCAAUGCCGCGUGGGUGAAGAAGGCCUUCGGGUUGUAAAGCCCUUUUGUACGGGAAGAAAUCCUGUCGGUUAAUACCCGGCGGGGAUGACGGUACCGUAAGAAUAAGCACCGGCUAACUACGUGCCAGCCGCCGCCGUAA